rnacentral:tRNA from 3 species
GGGGCGGAUGUAGCCAAGUGGAUUAAGGCAGUGGAUUUGUGAAUCCACCAUGCGCGA